UUAGUUCAUGUAAUUAUCAAUAUGCAAUUUCAUCUAUAAAAAGGUAUAGCCACACAAAGUGAAAUUCACCAAAUCAAUAAACUUAGAGAGAGCUAUCAGAGAGUAUUAAAAACUUGAAGUAGUUGAAAAAUGGCUGGUGAGAAGGAAACAACUAAAGUGGCAAUUGAUAAGUAUAGGCGGUUCCUGCAUGAAGAUCAUGUUGCUGCUGCAGGAACUAUGGGGUGGAGACAUGGUAGCCCUCCAAUUUAUGACAGUGUUAAUAAUGUCUUUGAACAAGGAAGAACCAAGGUAUGGCCAGAAGGGUCUCUUGAAGAAACAAUACAAAAUUCUAUAAAGACAUUUGAAAUGGAGCUUAAAUACAAGACUUGCAUAAAGGACUUUAGGACCAUUAACCCUGAAAAAUUCAAGCUCUUUGUUAAUGGAAGAGAGGGACUGUCAGCAGAAGAGACACUAAAAGUGAUGAGGUUACAAUGCGCUAUUGAAGAAUUCAAAUACCACAAAGAAGACCUUUGAAUCGUCUCAUACUGCUUUUCGAUCAGCUUUUUCAAGAGGAUUCGCCUGGGAAGUGAUCAAAGUGUAUACUGGCCCUCCUGUUGUGACAUACAAAUGGGGUUUCUUUGAAGGACCAUUUAAAGGACAUGCCCCUACUGCUGAGAUGAUACAGUUCUAUGGCAUUGGCAUUAUGAAGGUAGAUAAAUCUCUAAGAGUAGAGGAAUUAGAGUUGUACUAUGAUCCAGCAGAACUUUUUGGUGGACUACUCAAGGGACCAAAAAUUUCUGAAUCUAACACUGAGCAUCAGGGCCAGGAUGAUAAUACCACCACUCAACAUUGCCCAUUCAACCACAACUAA